GUUUAUGUCCUGUGUUUACUCUGCUCCUUGCAUGGAUACUGCAGGUUCCCAAACAGUGUGUGCAGAAAUAUUUGCUUUCUCACAGUGCCUGUGAAAGAUUCAGAGGCACACACUGUGCAGGGUCAGGGUUAGUGUUGAUUUUUUUCAUGUGGACUCUGUGCCUUCUCCAGGGAGAUGGCUGUGAGAUUCAGUCUGCUACUGAAGGAGUGACUGUGGCAGUGAACUGAUCCUGGGUCCUGCUUUGGGCAGUGAACCCUCUGCUCCUGACAGAGGAGACAGGGCUCAGCUGAUCUGAGAUCAGGUAGAGGUGAUCCCGCACAGUACAGAUUGCUGUUGUGUGCCGAACAAAGAGCAUCUGAAGGGCGUGUAACAAAUCUGCUAUCAUUUGAAGCAUGCCUUAAUAAAUGCCCUUGCCCAUAACUCUUUGUCUGUUUGAGAAUAUUGGAAGAAUAAGCUAGCUCUUAAUACCUGACAUAUUUCAUAUAUUAUGCUUAUAAAAAGAGAACUUGGGUAUAAUGCCCCUCUUUUUAAAUUCCCUUUAGAUUCACUUUAAUUAAAUCGGAGAGGUGACAUACUUGCUGCAUGUCUAAUUGCUAAAACAGUACUAGAGUUGUCCUUUCCCCCCAGGCUGAGAGGGGACAGGGGACGGAGGUGGGACAAGGGAGUAGUAUUUUUUUCUGUGUUUGCAUUGCUUCCCCAUCAGUGAUCUCGAUCUGAUCAGCAGUGAUGCGGAUACUGUAUCUGUAGAACUUUGCUAGAGGCUCUAGAGAUUGUAGCCCUGUGAGGGCUGUUGAUUGGUUGUAUCAACAGUUUGCCGCGGGGCUCUUGGAGCUCAGAGCUGUGUUAGCGAAUCGCACAGAUGAUCAUGCUGAUGCAUUGCACUGUCAGGCAGUACAGCUAUUUUGCAGGCAGAUUCACCACACUGCUAUGAACUACAGAACCCAGAAUUCCCCAGGAGAGCUCAGAGUAUGAGUACUGCUAUAUCCAUACUGUAAGUGUCACACUGAGCUUGAUCUAAAGUUGAUGUGCAUGUGGUAGGAUCUUCAGCUUGAUCCUAAACUGGAUGUAGACAGGUAGGAGUCCCCAUGGUGAUGUGUCAUCUUGUGUUUCAUGUAGACAGGUGGGGCUUCCCAAGGUAAUGUGUCUCCUGUUGUAAAGACAGCGAUGGGUUCCCUGAGGCUUCAGUUUCAGUACAAACGCAGCACAGAGCUUCAGCAGGGCGUGUGGUGGCAGUGUAGCGCAGUGGUUAGGGAACCAGGACUGCAACUCCAAGGCUGAGGGUUUGAUUACCAGCUGGGGUGCUGCCGUUGUACCCUUGAGCAAGCACUUAACCUGAAUUGCUGUAGUAAAUAUCCAGCUGUAUAAAUGGAUUUUGUAUAAAAAGAAUGUGAGCUUUUUAAUUCGCUCUGGUUAAGAGCAUCUGCUAAAUGCCCAAAAUGUGGUGUAAUGUAAUGACUCCUCUCCUCCAGCCCAGGAUGGGUGGAUUUGAACUGAAAACAGACCAUGCCAGUGGGCGGAGGGGUAGGAGGGGAGGAUCACUUCCUCAGUACGGUUUAGUGGGAAUUCUACGUACAGUGGAGAGCUGGACUGCAGUUGUCCUGCAUUAAUAAGGCUUUCCUGACACUGCAGGGUCUGAAGGCUUUUCAGACCGGCAGUUCAUCUCUUGGCCCUGGUUGAGGAUGCUGAACACUGGGAGUCUGCCUGUGUGAAUCAGAAGGGAGCUGUCACACUAGCAACAUCAGGCGUCCCAUUUUCAGACCCUGUCACUCUCUGAGUCACAGCCCACAAGCCUGCAUUCAUUUUCAUCCUCUCCUCAUCUCACCUCUCGUCUCCUGAUUCUGUUCUUGCCUGUGCCUGUUGUUUACACUUCCCCCUCUUUCCCUCUCCCACUCUCUCAAUCUCUGCCUAAAUCCCUUCUGGACCUCCCUGUCUUCCUGCCUGUUCGCUCUCUCCUUUUCUUCACCUGUCUCCGUCUCUUAUCGUUCCUUAUCCCUCUUUUCAGCACAUUCUCACUCCCAGUCGUUUUGUCCCUUCUGUCUUUCAGUGUUUUCUUUCUUCCCCAACCCAUGUGACUAGUCUGCUAGCCUCCCUACUCUCUCUCCCUCUCUUUUACUCCUAAACUCUUCCUUGCAUUUUCUCUCCCUGCUUCUCUCUCCUCUCUCACUCCACCCCCUCUCUCUCUCUGAAACAUAGGAUGUCUGCAUGUGCAAACCUGACUCACUGCAUUGAGUGUGAUACAUAGUUUAUAACCAUACCUGCAGAAUGCUUCCGUUGCAGUGAGUCAUAGAGCUUCUCUAUACAUAUCCCCACUGCAUUUGUCCGUGUGUUAGACUGGUAUGUCCCUGUUAAUGCUGGAAGAAUGACAUGGCUGUGCUCACUGGCUCAGUGGAAUAGGGCCAGCCGCUAGGAGUGCAUAAUAAGGUAUGUGCUUUUUUUCUGUUUGUUUCUUGUUCAUGCCUGGAAGUCCUCUCGUGGGCUUUGUGCUUCCUGAGAGAACUCUGCCCAGGGUUGCCAGGUGAGAAGAGAGGUGCAGGUGUUGCGCUAAGAGUGUGGGAGGUUUUCUCUGUGGUUGACAUUCGGAUCACAAGCUCUUCAAGCAGGAUUUGAAUGUUCGAUAUAUGAUUCCUUACCAUGUGCUUCCUAUGAAAGCCAUUUUAUACCUCAUUUAAGACAAACCAAGGAAAGCUACAAAUGAUCUUAUAACAGAAUCAUUUAUAAAUAGUCUUAGAAAUUAAAUGAGAAAGUGGAGGAAGUGGACAGUGAGUUACGUGAGUGUGAAGCUGCUUGUAUUCCAAAACACAACAAGAGUGUAUGUUUUUGUGUGUACGUGUGUGUGGGUGUGUGUGUGUGUGUGUGUGUGUGCGUGCGUGUGUGUGCGAUACAGGCAGCCUCACUGCAGUUCUCUCCAAAUCAGGAGUAAAGACAUAAGGCUAAAUAAAUACAGACGUUAAGCCACAUUCUGCUCCAUGUCGCCGCUGGACCGCAGUGUCCACGCGCUGAUGUGCAGCAGCUCUUACUCUCGCUCAGUCGCGCUCCUGAAAGGCAGAUGGGACAGAAAAGAGUGCGUGCCAGUGUGCGGGGAGCCACCCGUCUUUUGUAAACACCCAUGUGACCCGUCCUCUGCCCUUCAUUCAUGAGAGCGUGGAGCCCGGCCCACGGCAGUCACCUUCUCAGAGAAACCAUGGAAACCCCUGGCACUACCACACCAGCCUCCCCAGAGAUCUGCCUACCUCAGGUUCUUUCUCCUGUCUGUCCCGCGGUGUGAAGUCCUGCGACUCACUGGCGAAAAAGCGGAUGAUCGAAUGCAUUUAAGCACAGAGAUUUACACUUCCUCUCGCUAAGAACACACGGGAUUCCAUUUCCUCAACCUGCAUGUACCAGAGACUUGCACACCUUUGUGUUCUGAUCUUCAGCCCUAGUUUUUCUGUGGAAAUCACGCUGUGGCAAAACAGGUCGCUGUGUUGAGCCUGCGUGGAAAGGCUUUCCUUCAUUUGAAACGGCAAAGUUGGGUGUCUGUCUGUCUGAUUUUCUGUCUGACAGGACCUGCAUUCCUCUGGCUCAUCUCUUUCAUGAUCCUGCCCUGAUUGAUAUAUAACAUCUGUUUCAUGGGUCUGACUUGAACGGAUAGGAUAUUGUGUUAUGGUCUUCCCAGCUGGUUUUAUUGAUUUCACUGUGUUGUCAGGAGAAAGAAAAAUCAAUGCAAGGAAUUCCAUUUGAAGACAUAUUUAUAGCCUGGUCAGAAGGCUAGUGCUAACCAACAGUGCUGUUUUCAGAGUUUGAGCUUCAUAACACAUAACAAUUGUAUGUGCAUGCGUGUGUGUUUGACUGUGUGUGUGUGUGUGUGUGUGUGUGUUUGAGUUUGAGUGUGGAUACACAUGUUUAUAUUCUUCAUUAGUGACAUAGUUAUUACAAUGGAUUGCUGAUAAGAAGUGUUUUCAAAUCCAGCUGAAACUGAGCUGAUGGGCAUUGCAGGCAUAGAUUCUCUACCUUCAGUUUUUCAGCCAGUCCUGGCUGCAGCAGAGAGUGAGAGAAUUGGAGACAUUUAGAGAGCUUCCACAGAGACCAGGCUAUCUGCUCACACACCUUUUCACAUAUUCUCAACAAGAAGGCUGCCACUGGAACCUGAGGCAUCUGUCUGCAGCUGAUAGAGGACAGAGCAACCUAAUACCUCCCCCCCCCACCCCCCGACACAGACCGUUAUUAUUUUUUUGGUCGAAAAUCUUUACAAUUUGCCCUUUCUUGUUUUAAUUUCAAUGUAAAUGCAAGCAGCUCAUAAUGAUUUGCUUUUCUCCAUUGUAUUACAUGGAUACAUUCAUUUCAGGUCAGAAAACACUGUCACACACACUCAUUUUAUUUCUGAAACUAGAAGACAGGACAUCACAGAGAAAGUGCAUUUGCGAGUGCAUGCGUGAAGAAAGCAAAUUGUUCUACACUAACUACUGUUAUUUUGAGUCCUACGCUGUGCAGUUGCCUAGAGCAAAGCCUGUGUACUUUUAUCUGCAUGUUUGCCUUGUAUCUGUUUUUAAAUGUACCUGCUCUAUCCAUCUGUGGCCGCUUGCCCCCACUGUCCCACGGAGAGAGACUAGCCCAUUUCUCCUGAGUCAUUGCUGAACAUCGCAACGACCACAGAUUUCUUUUCUUGACUAUUGACAGUCUUUUAAAUCUCAAUUAUCUUACUUUUUUGAGCAACCAGGCCUGUCUCUAAAUCCAAAGAAUUUUCAUUAAAAAUUAAAAAUAUUAAAUAUUGGAGCUGGUGUUGUCGAUCCCAUCGCUCCAUCUCCUUGGGAUCUCCCUUCUCACCACCCUUCAUCUAAAGUGGAAGUUUUUGAUGUGAUUAAUGAAGAAACUAUUAGUGAUAUUAUCGGGAAGAGGAAGUCAUCCACAUGUUCCCUUGACCCUAUUCCUACUAAGCUUUUUAAAGGUCUUCUCUUGCUGCUCCCAAGACAUAAUUAUGAUUAUCAACUCAUGAUUGCAAUCUGGAAUUUUCCCUAAAGCUUUCAAGACUGCCGUGGUGAAUCCAAAUUGGACAGUGCAGUCUGUAACAAUUAUCGACCCAUAUCCAAUCUUCCCUUCCUUAGUGAACUUUCGGAGAAGAUUGUUCUCAGUCAAUUGACAAUUCACCUGAACGACAAUAAUGUAUUAGAUUAAUUUCAGCCAGGCGUUCGUGCCAACCACAGUACUGUCUGAGACUGCACUCUCCAAAGUAGUUAAUGACCUUCGACUUUCUGUUGAUGACAACAGAAAGUCGUUGUCGUUGCUUGUUCUUCUAGGCACUGCAUUUGACACUAUUGAGCACAGUGAUUUAAUUGAUGGACUGAAGAAAUGGGUUGACCUCUCUGACAGGGUCUUUAACUGGUUCCACUCAUAUUUAACAGGGAGGUGGGUCUGUCAGUCUGGGCGAACUGGUAUCUGAAAGUACUGAGAAUAUUGACCUUGGCAUUGCCCAAGGAAGUAUUCUUGGCUCAAUUAUAUUUUCUCUGUGUAUGCUCCCUCCAGUCACCCGGUCAUCUCAUAAGUCAUCACAAUGUCAGCUAUCACUGUCAUACUGAUGACACGCAGGUGUACAUAUCUGUUUAACAAGGUGAUCCCAAAACUCUGAGUGCCCUCACGGCCUGUCUCACUGACAUCAACUUGUGGAUGAGCACAAACUUUCUAAAGCUAAAUGAGGAAAAGACAGAGAUUCUCCUUGCAGGAUCAAAAGUGAAAUGACAGAUACUCAUCUCAAAACCCUGCUAUCUUCUGAACAGCCGAAAAUAGUUUUACUUUGCUUUUUAAUGUCACUAAGACCACAUUUUUACAGUGCAGCUUAUUGUGUUACUAGUUUAAUGGUCAUAACUUACUUCCUUGUGUUGAUAUGGUUAGUCUAGGUUUGGACUGGGGGAAAUAGCCAGUUAGAUUCCAUACUCUUUUGUAUGUAGGCCAGUUCUCCAUUUCCCAGGCUUGUGUUUAAGCUGCGUUGCUUCAGCAUUUAUAAACAAGCUCAAUGGCUCAGAAAAGUGAUAUGUCUGGGAUGAAAUUGCUAUUUAUUAUUAUUAUUAUUAUUAUUAUUAUUAUUAUUAUUAUUAUUAUUAUUACUGUGUAUAUGCAGUGUCAUACUGAUAAAGAGUUAUGUCUGUCACAGAGUGUGAGGAUUUAAUGAUCUUGUCUUUACCUUUAAGUAUUACGUUUUUUAUUUUUACUACAGGUGACUGAGGUAAAGUGUUUGUCUGUACAUGCCUCUCCCGGUGUGGUUGUGUUCAGCGUUUAUCUGGGUUGGGCCUUCCCCAUCCAGACCUAUUUGUCAUGUGUGUUGGAAUCCUUGAUUUGAUGAUGA